AACGAACGCUGGCGGCAUGCCUAACACAUGCCAGUCGAACGAGACCUUCGGGUCUAGUGGCGCACGGGUGCGUAACGCGUGGGAACCUGCCCUUAGGUUCGGAAUAACUCCCCGAAAGGGGUGCUAAUACUGGAUAAUGUCUUCGGACCAAAGAUUUAUCGCCUUUGGAUGGGCCCGCGUUGGAUUAGCUAGUUGGUAGGGUAAAAGCCUACCAAGGCGACGAUCCAUAGCUGGUCUGAGAGGAUGAUCAGCCACACUGGGACUGAGACACGGCCCAGACUCCUACGGGAGGCAGCAGUGGGGAAUAUUGGACAAUGGGCGAAAGCCUGAUCCAGCAAUGCCGCGUGAGUGAUGAAGGCCUUAGGGUUGUAAAGCUCUUUUACCCGGGAUGAUAAUGACAGUACCGGGAGAAUAAGCUCCGGCUAACUCCGUG
rnacentral:rRNA from 1 species